AUUCUGCAUUUUUAGCAAGCUC
rnacentral:miRNA from 1 species